GGAAUUGUUCGCAAUGGGCGCAAGCCUGACGACGCAACGCCGCGUGGAGGAUGAAGAUCUUCGGGUCGUAAACUCCUGUCGAAUGGGACGAAUAGGUUGCGGAUUAACAGUCCGCGAUCCUGACGGUACCGUUAAAGGAAACCCCGGCGAACCCCGUCCCAGCAGCCGCGGUAAUACGGGGGGAGCAAGCGUUGUUCGGAUUUACUGGGCGUAAAGGGCGCGUAGGCGGCCACCGCAAGUCGACUGUGAAAUCUCCGGGCUUAACCCGGAAAGGUCAGCCGAUACUGCGGGGCUAGAGUGCAGAAGGGGCAACUGGAAUUCUCGGUGUAGCGGUGAAAUGCGUAGAUAUCGAGAGGAACACCUGCGGCGAAGGCGGGUUGCUGGGCUGACACUGACGCUGAGGCGCGAAAGCUAGGGGAGCGA
rnacentral:rRNA from 1 species